rnacentral:rRNA from 1 species
UACGUAGGGUGCAAACGUUAAUCGGAAUUACUGGGCGUAAAGCGUGCGCAGGCGGUUUUGUAAGUCUGUCGUGAAAUCCCCGGGCUCAACCUGGGAAUUGCGAUGGAGACUGCAAGGCUGGAGUCUGGCAGAGGGGGGUAGAAUUCCACGUGUAGCAGUGAAAUGCGUAGAGAUGUAGAGGAACACCGAUGGCGAAGGCAGCCCCCUGGGUCAAGACUGACGCUCAUGCACGAAAGCGUGGGGAGCAAACAGG